AUGUUAACCCCUCAGGCUGCUCGCCCACCUUCCAGGAACACAACUGACAAGCCCUUGGCAACCUGGGGGGCUGUUGGUGACCUUCUAACGAGACAGACAGCCCCCAGACCCUCUGAAAAGCAGAAACCCCCAACUUCCUGUCCCGGCGGCGGCCAUCACGGCAAGAAAAACCGGCUUUUACGACAACUCCCACAAUGCCCGCGGCCUACAACUCCCAGUGUGCACCGGGCGACACCGCGGUUAACCCUGUCGUGGCGCCGGGCUGCAACAAGAAAGACUAUCGUACAACUGCCUACAAGUUCUACCUAUCUCCAUUUUAUAAGACAAAUUUCCUCCAAUAUAUUGUCUCAAAAAAAUUACACAACGCCAAGCAAACUCCAAGGAAUCAAGGACUCUGGAUUUGCUUCUCCUUUCCUCUGAGGACGCAGCCCAGCUUUGCUACCAGUAAAUCAACAGCAUCAGCGGUUCUGGAAGAGCAAGCCUCCCAGAGGCUUCCGAUCUACUACAACCAUCUCCACGUUGAGCACAGGGUCAAAUGCCAAGUUUGAUUUGGUGUGACGUAUUUCUCACCAGAGGCUUGCUACUAUAAAACGAGCCCAUUCAAUAUUUAUUGUUUGAAAGAAAAUAGGUGUUCAGAAGGAAAGGUGUCCUUUCCUGUAUAAACAAAAGUGGGACUUUCAAGGGUUGUAUGGGUAAUACUUAUAUUUUUAACACAGAAGAUUUGGGCAUAUACAUGUGUACAGCAAAGAAUCAAAGGACCUAAAGUCAACUCCAUUGAAGCUGGGCUGUGUGCUCCCAGAACAUCACAUAGAAACAAGCCCUUCCCUAUUUGAGGUAUAUUUUCUUUCUGUAUCCUCAUGGCAACACAUAAACACAUGCAUUUUGUGAUAAACAAGUGCUAUCCUAACAUAUCCAAAAAGUACUGCAUUACUUGGGCAGAACAUAGCUACUGUGGUCAUAACCAUUCAAAAAACAAAAUAAGCAUUUUUUAAAAGCACAUUAAUCUGGUAAUUCCAAAGAACAUUCAAAUCAAAUCAUCUUGGCGUAGUUUGUAUUUUCAAAACUUGUCUCAUCACCUUCAGACUUUCAGUUAGUUUGUAUCAUGAUACUGGCCACUCUCAUUUUUCUUUCAAGUUCCCAUGCCUGAAUCCAAGGUCCUCAAACCCUUCUGUGUUUGUGACCAUCUGCAAGGGUCUCUCUUCCAACCCCUGGGUUCGGAACCCCAAACAUUUCAGCACUUAGCUGAACAAGUGCUAAUAAGAUGUAAUACAUAAAUAAAAAUGAUUUUGUUUUCA
rnacentral:lncRNA from 13 species